UUUAGAUCGAAGUAAGCGUGUCUCAAAUAUAAUAAUCCAUUCCAAAAUCAAUCGACCCUGAGAGUUGUACAUUGUAUAAAAUUUUACGGAAUAGAAAGUUCUCAAUCUCAAGUUAAAAAUGUGUUUGUGUGAAUCGUGUGAUUGCUUAGACAACUGGUGUUGUUCACUGAAGCGAAAAGUUUGGGCUUUUGGUAUUUGGACUAUCAUUUUUGGAAUUUUAGCUUUGAUUUUUCAUGUAGUGCAGUAUACACUUUUCGAAAAUCGCGAUGCUCCUGCGUACAAGGAUAAUGAAUAUUAUAAAGUAACUUAUUCAUUAAAUUUUAACGGUCAUAUUUUAAUGAUUGUUCUGGCGUGCCUUACUGUGCUUGCUGGACUUCUAAUGCUAUACAGUAUUAAAGCAUCCAUCGCACCACUGUACAUGGUGACCAUAGUUGUUGGCUCAAUAUGUCCUUUCGUUUAUUUUUUUUUAGUGAUAGUGCCAAUUGUGCAAGUUUUAUUCAUAAUCAUUGGAUGUAGAUACUAUUCAAAUGUAUUAAAGUGAUAAUAUACAGAUCAUGAAUAUUACAAAUUUUCAAGUAAUUGUCUCGAUAUGAAAAUAACAUUUUCGGAAAUCAAUAAAUCUGAAAAUUUCGCGUGUUACAUCUAUGUUUGACGUUCUUGGUUUUCGGAUCAAUAUCGCCAAGCGUUAAUCUGUUUAUAACAACGCCAGUGCACGUUUCUUUAUAUUCAUUGGUUGCAGAUAUUAUUCUACAGUGUUAAAAUAACUCAAAAUCAAAUUUAAUUUGUGAACAAAUUUAAUAGAUUAAAGGUCUACUUUUACUUUCUCGAUCCCAAUAAAAUCUUAAGAAACAACG